rnacentral:piRNA from 1 species
GCGAACUGUGUUAUGCUGAGGCUU